AAACAAACAGGCCCCCGCGGCCCGCUGGAAGCGCGGUCCCCCCCCCCGGGGGGGCCGCGCCUGCAGUAGACCCUCUGUGAAAACCCCUUGUUGCUUCGGCAGCGCCUCCCCGCGUUCCCGCGGGGAGGGUCAGCCUGCCGACAGCACCCGCAAAACCCAAGUUGCAAAAGCAGUUUAAUGUCUGAACAGCGCAGUCGAAUGACUUUA
rnacentral:misc_RNA from 1 species